rnacentral:snoRNA from 1 species
GUGCACACUUCAUUGUCUUUUUUCUUUAUAUUAAGAGAAAGGAUAUUUCUGGUGUGCUAAACAAACCUUUGGAGGUAAAUUAGCAGCAUGACUUAAUUUUAGCCAUCGCUGUCAGUCACCUUCAAACAAGU